CUUGGUCAUUUAGAGGAAAGUAAAAGUCGUAACAAGGUUUCCGUAGGUGAACCUGCGGAAGGAUCAUUAUCGAAAUUAUUGGUGAGGGUUGUAGCUGGCCUUUCGAGGCAUGUGCACGCUCGAGCCCUUAAUCCACUUUACACCUGUGCACUUAAUGUAGGUCGCCCCUAAAAAAGGUGACCUAUGUCUUAUCAUCAACCCAUCGUAUGUCUCAUAGAAUGUAAUCGAUAUCCUCGCCCUAAAAAAGCGUUGAUAAACUUAUACAACUUUCAACAACGGAUCUCUUGGCUCUCGCAUCGAUGAAGAACGCAGCGAAAUGCGAUAAGUAAUGUGAAUUGCAGAUUUUCAGUGAAUCAUCGAAUCUUUGAACGCACCUUGCGCUCCUUGGUAUUCCGAGGAGCAUGCCUGUUUGAGUGUCAUUAAAUUCUCAACUCCAAGGGUUUCACGACCUUUCGGAGAUUGGACUUGGAGGUGCUGGCCGCAUAUUGGUCGGCUCCUCUCAAAUGCAUCAGCGGAAUUCAACCUUUGGCUUCCGGAUGUCAGUGUGAUAAUCAUGUUGCGCUGUCGUUUGAUCCCUCAGAGUCCGCUUAUAAUGGUCUUCGGACAAAAUCAUCAUCAAAUUUGACCUCAAAUCAGGUAGGACUACCCGCUGAACUUAAGCAUAUCAAUAAGCGGAGGA
rnacentral:rRNA from 1 species